AGCGAACGCUGGCGGCAGGCCUAACACAUGCAAGUCGAACGAACCUUUCGGGGUUAGUGGCGGACGGGUGAGUAACACGUGGGAACGUGCCUUUAGGUUCGGCAUAACUCAGGGAAACUUGUGCUAAUACCGAAUGUGCCCUUCGGGGGAAAGAUUUAUCGCCUUUAGAGCGGCCCGCGUCUGAUUAGCUAGUUGGUUGAGGUAAUGGCUCACCAAGGCGACGAUCAGUAGCUGGUCUGAGAGGAUGAUCAGCCACAUUGGGACUGAGACACGGCCCAAACUCCUACGGGAGGCAGCAGUGGGGAAUCUUGCGCAAUGGGCGAAAGCCUGACGCAGCCAUGCCGCGUGAAUGAUGAAGGUCUUAGGAUUGUAAAAUUCUUUCACCGGGGACGAUAAUGACGGUACCCGGAGAAGAAGCCCCGGCUAACUUCGUG
rnacentral:rRNA from 1 species